GACGAACGCUGGCGGCGUGCCUAAUACAUGCAAGUUGAGCGCUGAAGGUUGGUACUUGUACCGACUGGAUGAGCAGCGAACGGGUGAGUAACGCGUGGGGAAUCUGCCUUUGAGCGGGGGACAACAUUUGGAAACGAAUGCUAAUACCGCAUAAAAACUUUAAACACAAGUUUUAAGUUUGAAAGAUGCAAUUGCAUCACUCAAAGAUGAUCCCGCGUUGUAUUAGCUAGUUGGUGAGGUAAAGGCUCACCAAGGCGAUGAUACAUAGCCGACCUGAGAGGGUGAUCGGCCACAUUGGGACUGAGACACGGUCCAAACUCCUACGGGAGGCAGCAGUAGGGAAUCUUCGGCAAUGGACGAAAGUCUGACCGAGCAACGCCGCGUGAGUGAAGAAGGUUUUCGGAUCGUAAAACUCUGUUGGUAGAGAAGAACGUUGGUGAGAGUGGAAAGCUCAUCAAGUGACGGUAACUACCCAGAAAGGGACGGCUAACUACGUG
rnacentral:rRNA from 1 species